rnacentral:rRNA from 1 species
UUGCUUCUUAUCAAUUCGAGUGGCAAACGGGUGAGUAACGCGUAAGCAACCUGCCCUUUAGAUGGGGACAACAGCUGGAAACGGCUGCUAAUACCGCAUAAGACCACACUAUCGCAUGAUAGAGGGGUCAAAGAAAUAUCGCUUAUGGAUGGGCCCGCGUCUGAUUAGCCAGUUGGCAGGGUAACGGCCCACCAAGCCAACGAUGGGUAGCCGAGCUGAGAGGCUGAUCGGCCACACUGGAACUGAGACACGGUCCAGACUCC